UACGAAGGGGGCUAGCGUUGUUCGGAAUUACUGGGCGUAAAGCGCACGUAGGCGGACAUUUAAGUCAGGGGUGAAAUCCCAGAGCUCAACUCUGGAACUGCCUUUGAUACUGGGUGUCUUGAGUAUGGAAGAGGUGAGUGGAAUUCCGAGUGUAGAGGUGAAAUUCGUAGAUAUUGGGAAGAACACCGGUGGCGAAGGCGGCGCUCUGGACCGAGACUGACGCUGAGGCGCGAAAGCGUGGGGAGCAAACAGG
rnacentral:rRNA from 1 species